CAGAGUCAUAAAAAACUAAGGAAUUGUCCUGAUUAAAGAAGACUGCAGAGACAUAACAGCUGAAUGCAACACAUGAUCCAGGAUUUCUUUGGCUGUAGGGAACCUUAUUGGGACAGUUGACAAAAUCUAUGUUCUGUGGCAUGAUGUUCAGCUUUGUCAGUAGAUGGCGACAGAGAAACGUCUCAAGAAAAAAGUAUUCCUCCAGUUCUGCGGCACAGGUGAAUGAAUGCUUCUGCACCAGCCUGCUGUGUUUGUUUUAUUUUUAAUGGAAAUUUUUAAGAUCCCCACCUCUUAAUA